UACGGGGGGGGCAAGCGUUGUUCGGAAUUACUGGGCGUAAAGGGCUCGUAGGCGGCCAACUAAGUCAGACGUGAAAUCCCUCGGCUUAACCGGGGAACUGCGUCUGAUACUGGAUGGCUUGAAUCCGGGAGAGGGAUGCGGAAUUCCAGGUGUAGCGGUGAAAUGCGUAGAUAUCUGGAGGAACACCGGUGGCGAAGGCGACAUCCUGGACCGGUAUUGACGCUGAGGCGCGAAAGCUAGGGGAGCAAACGGGG
rnacentral:rRNA from 1 species